rnacentral:lncRNA from 1 species
UGUUUUUUUCAAAGUAGAAGGCGCUCACCUUGUUCCUUCAUCUUUCGUCGGCACAAAUCCAGGGAAAACACGGGGAAUGCGGGAGAUGGAAAU